GGAAGACCCUGGCCUCCAUCUUGAAAACGGAAAAUAAAAACAGCAGACCUAUGAAGGUCGAAGGGGAAGAAAAGCUGUAUCGAUUGUUGAGAUCUGGCGACUUGUUUAAAUUUCAUCAGCCUCACUUCUAUGAACUCUCAGGCCUCACGUGUACCAGCUCUCUGCUCUCCUUUGCCUUGGGACGUUCCAUCCCUGGAAGUUUCCCUGCCCACAUCUUUGUAGAGAGUCCAUUCUCCAAGCUUCAGUGUGUCAUCUGUGAGGACCGUGACCCACCUGGUACAUCGCCUCAGGGCAUUCAUUUCAGGCUCCUUCUAAAUGGCCAAGAGACAACACCAACAUUUUUGUAAUGGCCUGCAAGGCCUUCCGAGAUCUACCUCCUGCAACUCAGCUUCUCCUGUGCUCUCCUUCUGGACUCACUCUGCCUCAGCAACACUGGUCCCUGUUGCCCCACCAAUAUGCCAGGUAAACCUCAGGUUCUCCUCCUGCCUUUUGCUAAGUAUAUGUCUUGAUGACAAGCCUUCUGCUGAUGAGCUGUGUUUCUGGACCGAUCAUGGUAGAAGUCAAUUAACGUGUCCCUCACUUGGGGUUUCUCAAGGCUGCACUGAUGAGGAAACUGAAACAGAAAAUCCAGAGUAAAUUCCACCAGGCCACACAGCAAGGUCUGAUAGAGCCAGGAGAGACUUUAUGAAAUCCAGACUCUCACACUAAUGCUCUAUCAGCUAGACCUCCAUGUGAGUCUCCCCAAUGUAGGUAGGAAGUGCUUUCCCUAAAAUGCUCAUAAAGCAAAUCAGAGCAAUGCUGCAUUCCAUGUGAUUUCUAAUUUGAAAUGCAAACAAUUGCCAAUUUGUUUGACUUGUAUUUAUAAUUAUUUCCUUGUGAAUUACUCAUCACUAAAUGCUUUAUAAAUAUUUUCUCUUUUUUUCCUCAAUGUCUAUGGAAUGAUCACAGCAUAGAAAAUGUUGGCUUUCAAGGAUUUAUUAAUAUCUCCUUUUGAAAUAACAUGUAUUUGUAAGACAGAAUAAAAUCACUUUAAAGAAACAAA
rnacentral:lncRNA from 1 species